UACGUAGGGUCCGAGCGUUGUCCGGAAUUAUUGGGCGUAAAGGGCUCGUAGGCGGUUUGUCGCGUCGGGAGUGAAACACGGGGCUUAACCCCGUGCCUGCUUCCGAUACGGGCAGACUAGAGGUAUGCAGGGGAGAACGGAAUUCCUGGUGUAGCGGUGAAAUGCGCAGAUAUCAGGAGGAACACCGGUGGCGAAGGCGGUUCUCUGGGCAUUACCUGACGCUGAGGAGCGAAAGUGUGGGGAGCGAACAGG
rnacentral:rRNA from 1 species